UAAACUCUCAUAAGCAGAUUCUGUCGUGUUUCGUGAUGUUUCCUUACAGGCUCUCUCUAUGUCAACAGUAUCUUGUUAAAUGGGAGGCCCCCAGCCACGACACAGGAGGUCCCCAGCACCAGCACGGAUGGACAGCCGCGGAACCAGGUGAAGGCAGAACCAGUAGAAGGCAGAA